CCUACGGGAGGCAGCAGUAGGGAAUUUUGCGCAAUGGGGGAAACCCUGAUGCAGCAACGCCGCGUGAACGAGGAAGGUUUUCGGGUGUUAAGCUCCGUUUGUGGGAGCAGAAAAUGACGGUACCUAACGAAUAAGCACCGGCUAACUCCGUGCCAGCAGCCGCGGUAAUACGGAGGGUGCAAGCGUUCACCGGAAUCACUGGGCGUAAAGAGCUCGUAGGCGGGAUGGAAAGUCAGAUGUGAAAUGCUAAGGCUUAACCAUAGUACUGCAUUUGAUACUGUUAUGCUGGAGUACGGGAGAGGUAAGUGGAAUUCUUGGUGUAGGGGUGAAAUGCGUAGAGAUCAGGAGGAAUACUCGUGGCGAAGGCGACCUGCUAGAACAUAACUGACGCUGAGGAGCGAAAGCGUGGGGAGCAAACAGGAUUAGAUACCCGAGUAGUC
rnacentral:rRNA from 1 species